GAUGAACGCUGGCGGCGUGCUUAACACAUGCAAGUCGAACGGAUUUAACAGAAAGCUUGCUUUCGGUUAAAUUAGUGGCGGACGGGUGAGUAACGCGUGGAUAACCUGCCGUAUACAGGGGGAUAACACUUAGAGAUAGGUGCUAAUACCGCAUAAGCGCACAGUUUCGCAUGAGACAGUGUGAAAAACUCCGGUGGUAUACGAUGGAUCCGCGUCUGAUUAGGAGUUGGUGGGGUAACGGCCCACCAAGCCGACGAUCAGUAGCCGGCCUGGAGAGGGUUGACCCGGGCCACAUUGGGACUGAGAUACGGCCCAGACUCCUACGGGAGGCAGCAGUGGGGAAUAUUGGGCAAU
rnacentral:rRNA from 1 species